rnacentral:rRNA from 1 species
AUGUCGCUGGAGGCUUGGAUACUACGAUGGUUAUGUUGUUUUGUUCUGGCGACUGGUCCGACCUGCUUCACGCGGCAAGAAGUUUUUUGGUCAUUUUUCUGUUCACGUAUCUUUUGCCGCUUUGUGAUGGGAGCCGUCGUGUUUCCUCUCCGUCCUUGGUCAGGCGUCAGAUCUGGCCAAGCGGAGGUAGGAUCUGACCCGGGGACGAGUGCAAGGCAUUUUGAUGCAUCAUGUAUUCGUGUUUACGCCCGACGAAAGAAUUGUGUGGCGUGGUUAGUUUUGUCCCUUGGCGACACGCGUCGGCAUCGGGAAUGA